AUUGAACGCUGGCGGCAGGCUUAACACAUGCAAGUCGAACGCCCCCUUCGGGGGGAGUGGCAGACGGGUGAGUAACGCGUGGGAACGUGCCCUUCAGUUCGGAAUAACCCAGGGAAACUUGGGCUAAUACCGGAUACGCCCGAAAGGGGAAAGAUUGAUCGCUGAAGGAUCGGCCCGCGUCUGAUUAGCUGGUUGGUGAGGUAACGGCUCACCAAGGCGACGAUCAGUAGCUGGUCUGAGAGGAUGAUCAGCCACACUGGGACUGAGACACGGCCCAGACUCCUACGGGAGGCAGCAGUGGGGAAUAUUGGACAAUGGGCGCAAGCCUGAUCCAGCCAUGCCGCGAGAGUGAUGACGGCCUUAGGGUUGUAAAGCUCUUUCGUCCGGGACGAUAAUGACGGUACCGGAAGAAGAAGCCCCGGCUAACUUCGUGCCAGCCGCCGCCGUAACAC
rnacentral:rRNA from 1 species